AGCCUAGGGUUCAUGUCACUCUGCCUCUCUCUUAUCUUGAGAAACAACAAGUUAGGUGGGAAUUUUUACGGCGGCCCUGUCCUUUCUCUGUCCCCUUCCAUCAUGUGGCGUGUUUCACUGUUCAAUCCGAAUUUCCUGUGAUGUAGAUGAAACAAAUGAACUAUGCUUAGUGUCAACUGAUUCAAAAAAGCUCCUCUCUAAUCUCACCUCCUGGAAGGAAUGUUGGAAGAUAACACUCAGAAUCAUCAGAAUGAGGAGUUUAAUUGAUCAUAGGGAGGAGAAUGAAGAACAUGCUUUUCUUCGGCCUCUGAUAAUGGAUAAAGAAGUUAGUUAUUAUAGCUAUUUUGAUAGUUUUGUUGAAUAAGUUUGUAUAGAAAAAUUUUAGUCGCUUUAAUUAGUCAUUUGAAAUGGAUAAUAACUGUUCAAUGCACAGAUUUAA